UAAUUGGGAAAAGAAAAGUACAUUGAGAAAUUCUUUGUUGCACAUUGCUGUUAUCUGUGCACACAUUUGUAAUGUGUUUUGUGAGUUAAGGUGGAUCACUACACCCUGAAAUAGCUUUUCAGAUCAGUACGAAUUGAUUUAAUCAUAAAAGAUAUGAUGAUAUAUAAUAAUUAUUUAUGUCAAACUGCUGAAAAUAUGUAAAUUUUUUGAUAAAAACAUGAUUUUUAAAAAAUAAUUUCAACACACAUGAACAAAAGACUCUGGCGGAUUUGAACAAGAGAUCUAAGGUUCACCAGCCCAAUGCUUUAACCACUGAGCUACAAUGAUAGACAAACAAAUCAAUCGAUAGAAAUAAUUUCACAAAACAUUUAAUUCGCCAUCUUGUGAUGUAGUGUCAUAAAGAGCAUAAGGUUUAGUGUUGUGAGCUACCUUAAUAUCUUUUCAACUGAUUCCAUAUGUAUUACAGUGUUACCAGGAGGAUAGAGUUUUGCUGCAGGGCUUAGUGGUUAUGAUUUUGUUCCAUGAGGAAGGAAGAGGCACCAGGAAGCCAAGAAUUCUCCUCUGUAAAGGAGUGUUACCAGGAGAAUAGAGUUUUGCAGCAGGGCCUAGUGGUUGUGAUUUUGUUCCAUGGGGAAUGAGCAGGCACCAGGAAGCCAAAAAUUCUCCUCUAGAAAGGAGUGUUACCAGGAGGAUAGAGUUUUGCAGCAGGGCUUAGUGGUUAUGAUUUUGUGCCAUGAGGAAGGAACAGGCACCAGGAAGCCAAGAAUUCUCCUCUGUAAAGGAGGUGAAAUACUAUUACUCCUGACAGUGUUACCAGGAGGAUAGAGUUUUGCAGCAGGGCCUAGUGGUUGUGAUUUUGUUCCAUGGAGAAUGAGCAGGUACCAGGAAGCCAAGAAUUCUCCUCUGGAAAGGAGUGUUACCAGGAGGAUAGAGUUUUGCAGCAGGACUUAGUGGUUAUGAUUUUGUGCCAUGAGGAAGGAACCGGCACCAGGAAGCCAAGAAUUGUCCUCUGGA